CGCGAGUGCGGAAGAAAGAUGCAAUUGUAUCGUCUGGAGAUGAGCCUGCGGUCCAUUAGCUAGUUGGUAGGGUAAAGGCCUACCAAGGCGACGAUGGAUAGCCGGCCUGAGAGGGUGAUCGGCCACACUGGGACUGAGACGCGGCCCAGACUCCUACGGGAGGCAGCAGCUAAGAAUCUUCCGCAAUGGGCGCAAGCCUGACGGAGCGACGCCGCGUGAACGAAGAAGGCCGAAAGGUUGUAAAGUUCUUUUCUCAGGGAAGAAUAAAGCGAAGAGUGGAAAGCUUUGCAGAUGACAUUAACUGAGGAAUAAGCCCCGGCCAAUUACGUGCCAGCAGCCGCGGUAAUACGUAUGGGCGAGCGUUGUUCGGAAUUAUUGGGCGUAAAGGGCGUGUAGGCGGUUUCAUAAGCCUGGUGUGAAAGACCACAGCUCAACUGUGGAAAUGCGCUGGGAACUGUGAGACUUGAGUUCAGGAGGGGAAGCUGGAAUUCCUGGUGUAGGGGUGAAAUCUGUAGAUAUCAGGAAGAACACCGAUGGCGAAGGCAAGCUUCUGGCCAUGGACUGACGCUGAGGCGCGAAAGCGUGGGGAGCGAACAGGAUUAGAUACCCUGGUAGUCCACGCUGUAAACGAUGUGCACUGGGUGUAGGGGGCGUUGAGCUCUCUGUGCCGUAGCUAACGCGUUAAGUGCACCGCCUGGGGAGUAUGCUCGCAAGGGUGAAACUCAAAGGAAUUGACGGGGGCCCGCACAAGCGGUGGAGCAUGUGGUUUAAUUCGAUACUCGAGGAACCUUACCAGGGCUUGACAUGCACCUGAAGGCUUAAGAGAUUAAGUUGACCUUUAGGGGACGGGUGCACAGGUGCUGCAUGGCUGUCGUCAGCUCGUGUCGUGAGAUGUUGGGUUAAGUCCCGCAACGAGCGCAACCCUUACUGUCUGUUGCCAACAGGUCUUCGGAUGCUGGGGACUCAGGCAGAACUGCCGGUGACAAACCGGAGGAAGGUGGGGAUGACGUCAAGUCAUCAUGGCCCUUAUGUCCUGGGCUACACACGUGCUACAAUGGCCGGUACAAAGCGUUGCGAGACGGUGACGUCCUUAGCAAAUCGCAAAAAGCCGGUCUCAGUUCGGAUUGGAGUCUGAAACUCGACUCCAUGAAGUUGGAAUCGCUAGUAAUCGCGCAUCAGAAUGGCGCGGUGAAUAUGUUCCCGGGCCUUGUACACACCGCCCGUCACACCACCCGAGUUGGGGGUACCCGAAGUCGCUAGUCUAACUAGUAAUAGAGGACGGUGCCGAAGGUAUGCCUAGUAAGGGGGGUGAAGUCGUAACAAGGUA
rnacentral:rRNA from 1 species